AUAGUUUUGGUCCUAAACUUACUGCUACUUUUAAUCAAAUUUACACAUGCAAGCAUCCACACACCAGUGAAAUACGCCCUAACACAGUAUAAAUGGAGCAGGUAUCAGGCACAACCGCCAGCCAAAAACACCAAGCUUUGCCACACCCACACGGGCCCUCAGCAGUGAUAAACAUUAAGCAAUAAGCGAACACACCAAACUAAAGCUUGACUUAGUUAUGAUUAACAGGGCCGGUAAACCUCGUGCCAGCCACCGCGGUUACACGGCGGGCCCAAAGCAGCAGACUCUCGGCGUAAAUAGUGGCCAGAAUAAUUACCCCCACAUUAAAAACUAAACCAUACCCUAACCGUAAAACACAGGCUAAAUGAAAUCAAGCACUUUUAAUAACAGGUAAUUUGACCCACGAAAACUAAGAAACAAACUAGGAUUAGAUACCCUACUAUGCUUAGUCGUUAAUAUGAUAUUAUAGUACUAAAAUAUCCGCCAGAAAACUACGAGCGAAAAGCUUAAAACUCAAAGGACUUGGCGGUGCUCCAUACCGACUUAGAGGAGCCUGUCCUAUAAUCGAUACCCCACGCUAAACCCCACCAAUCUUUGCCAUACC
rnacentral:rRNA from 1 species